GACCUCGUUUCAAUGCCGCCAAAAGAACAAACUACCUCGGCGUGCCCGUAUUUACCUUGUGUCCUCUGACACACAAGGAGAGGAGUCAAGGAGAGCCGGGACAUUAUCUGAAGGCUGCUGUUUUUGGAACAAGAUCAAACUACUGCUGCGGCACAACCGUGUUCACCCUGUGUCCUCUGAGGCAGAGGAGCCAGGAAGAGGCGAGACAACAACCAAAUGCUGCCGUUCUAGGAACAAG